AACGAACGCUGGCGGCGUGCCUAACACAUGCAAGUCGAACGGAGAUAAGGGGCUUGCUCCUUAUUUUAGUGGCGCACGGGUGAGUAACGCGUAGAUAAUCUGCCUGAUGAUCUGGGAUAACAGUUCGAAAGGACUGCUAAUACCGGAUAAGCCCACGGAGUCUUUGGACUUUGCGGGAAAAGGGGGGGACCUUCGGGCCUUCGGUCAUCAGAUGAGUCUGCGUACCAUUAGCUAGUUGGUAGGGUAAUGGCCUACCAAGGCUACGAUGGUUAGCUGGUCUGGGAGGAUGAUCAGCCACACUGGAACUGAGACACGGUCCAGACUCCUACGGGAGGCAGCAGUGGGGAAUUUUGCGCAAUGGGCGAAAGCCUGACGCAGCAACGCCGCGUGAGUGAUGAAGGCUUUCGGGUCGUAAAGCUCUGUCGAUGGGAAAGAAGUGUAUUGUGGCUAAUAUCCACGAUACUUGACGGUACCCAUAAAGGAAGCACCGGCUAACUCCGUGCCAGCCGCCGCGGUAAAAC
rnacentral:rRNA from 1 species